AGUGAACGCUGGCGGUAGGCCUAACACAUGCAAGUCGAACGGCAGCACAGUAAGAGCUUGCUCUUACGGGUGGCGAGUGGCGGACGGGUGAGGAAUACAUCGGAAUCUACUUUUUCGUGGGGGAUAACGUCGGGAAACUUACGCUAAUACCGCAUACGACCUACGGGUGAAAGCAGGGGAUCUUCGGACCUUGCGCGAUUGAAUGAGCCGAUGUCGGAUUAGCUAGUUGGCGGGGUAAAGGCCCACCAAGGCGACGAUCCGUAGCUGGUCUGAGAGGAUGAUCAGCCACACUGGAAGUGAGACACGGUACAGACUCCUACGGGAGGCAGCAGUGGGGAAUAUUGGACAAUGGGCGCAAGCCUGAUCCAGCCAUACCGCGUGGGUGAAGAAGGCCUUCGGGUUGUAAAGCCCUUUUGUUGGGAAAGAAAAGCAGCAGGUUAAUACCCCGCUGUUCUGACGGUACCCAAAGAAUAAGCACCGGCUAACUUCGUG
rnacentral:rRNA from 1 species